GAUGAACGCUGGCGGCGUGCCUAAUACAUGCAAGUCGAACGAAACUUCUUUUUCACCGAGUGCUUGCACUCACCGAUAAAGAGUUGAGUGGCGAACGGGUGAGUAACACGUGGGCAACCUGCCCAAAAGAGGGGGAUAACACUUGGAAACAGGUGCUAAUACCGCAUAACCAUAGUUACCGCAUGGUAACUAUGUAAAAGGUGGCUAUACUACCGCUUUUGGAUGGGCCCGCGGCGCAUUAGCUAGUUGGUAGGGUAAAGGCUUACCAAGGCAAUGAUGCGUAGCCGAAUUGAGAGGUUGAUCGGCCACAUUGGGACUGAGACACGGCCCAAACUCCUACGGGAGGCAGCAGUAGGGAAUCUUCCACAAUGGGCGAAAGCCUGAUGGAGCAACGCCGCGUGGGUGAAGAAGGUCUUCGGAUCGUAAAACCCUGUUGUUAGAGAAGAAAGUGCGUGAGAGUAACUGUUCACGUUUCGACGGUAUCUAACCAGAAAGCCACGGCUAACUACGUG
rnacentral:rRNA from 1 species